AUUGAACGCUGGCGGCAUGCCUUACACAUGCAAGUCGAACGGCAGCACGGGCUUCGGUCUGGUGGCGAGUGGCGAACGGGUGAGUAAUGUAUCGGAACGUACCAUUGAGUGGGGGAUAACGUAGCGAAAGUUAAGCUAAUACCGCAUAUUCUCUCCGGAGGAAAGCAGGGGACCGCAAGGCCUUGCGCUCUUUGAGCGGCCGAUAUCAGAUUAGCUAGUUGGUGGGGUAAAAGCCCACCAAGGCGACGAUCUGUAGCGGGUCUGAGAGGAUGAUCCGCCACACUGGGACUGAGACACGGUCCAGACUCCGACUGGAGGCAGCAGUGGGGAAUGUUGGACAAUGGGGGCAACCCUGAUCCAGCCAUGCCGCGUGAGUGAAGAAGGCCUUCGGGUUGUAAAGCUCUUUCGGCCGGGAAAAAAUCGCAUGGAUUAAUACUCUGUGUGGAUGAUGGUACCGGAAUAAGAAGCACCGGCUAACUACGUGCCAGCCGCCGCAGUAA
rnacentral:rRNA from 1 species